rnacentral:rRNA from 1 species
UACGGGGGGGGCAAGCGUUGUUCGGAAUUACUGGGCGUAAAGGGCUCGUAGGCGGCCAACUAAGUCGGACGUGAAAUCCCUCGGCUUAACCGGGGAACUGCGUCCGAUACUGGAUGGCUUGAGUUUGGGAGAGGGAUGCGGAAUUCCAGGUGUAGCGGUGAAAUGCGUAGAUAUCUGGAGGAACACCGGUGGCGAAGGCGGCAUCCUGGACCAACACUGACGCUGAUGAGCGAAAGCUAGGGUAGCAAACGGG